GGGGGGGUUUACAGACUGGAUCGCUGGGCUGAGGCCAACUGGGGGAGUUUCACUAUGGCCAAGUGCUGGGUUCUGCCCUUCGGCCACAACAACCCCCAGCAGCGCUACAGGCUUGGGGAGGAGUGGCUGGAGAGCUGCCAGUCAGAGAGGGACCUGGGGGGGAUUGAUAAU